rnacentral:tRNA from 1 species
UGGUGUAGCACAGAGGUAGUGCAGCUGAUUCGUAAUCAGCAGGUCGUGGGUUCAAUUCCCACCACC